UACGGAGGAUCCAAGCGUUAUCCGGAUUUAUUGGGUUUAAAGGGUGCGUAGGCGGCCUGUUAAGUCAGGGGUGAAAGACGGUAGCUCAACUAUCGCAGUGCCCUUGAUACUGAUGGGCUUGAAUGGACUAGAGGUAGGCGGAAUGUGACAAGUAGCGGUGAAAUGCAUAGAUAUGUCACAGAACACCGAUUGCGAAGGCAGCUUACUAUGGUCUUAUUGAUGCUGAGGCACGAAAGCGUGGGGAUCAAACAGG
rnacentral:rRNA from 1 species